AUAAAACAAAACAUUAAAAGCCACCAUUUUAUGUUCAUCUUUCUUCACCGAAUGUAGAAAAGAAAAACAAGGUUUGAAAGCUUGAAACAUUCGGCCAUUUUGAAGCUUAAUUCAAGAUCAAGAAUUAAAGAAAUCGGAUUUGGAUCGGGGAAAUACAAAAGUGGUCGAGUAGCCGAUUUAACAGUCGACGACAUCCAAGGUAAGUCUAAUAGCAAUUUAAAUGUUAUUAAAUUGGAAUUUAUAUAAAUAUAUCUAUCAUACAUUUAGUAAGCUGGAACUAAAAGUAUAUAAAUUGAAUAAAACUUGGUGAUUUUUCUAUGUGAUAGCCGAACAUAGAAAUUAAUUUUGGGAGGUUGAUAUUCAUGGUAUAAAUUACAUGUAUAUUAGCUAAAGUAUGCUUUAAGUUCAAUGAUAUGAAACUAAUAGUAGAAUGUACAUGGAUAUGUAGUUCGAAUGUAAGAUUUAAUUUCUUGAGUUGAAUUUAAAGUUAUGAAUUAUAUAUAUAAAGUUUGAAUGUAUGAUACAAGUUCUUUGAUUCUUUGAGUUGAACUUAAUAUUAUGAAUUAUAUAUAUAUGCACAUAUGGUUCGAAUAUAUAUAUUUAAAGUUCUUGAGCUGUAUUUAAUGUAUGAAUUUUAUAUACAUAUGUGGUUCAAAUAUAGGUUACAAAGUUCUUGAGCUGAAUUUAAUGUAUGAAUUUUACUUACAUAUGUGGUUCGAAUGUUUGUUUGCUAUGGAGAAUUGAAUAUAAUUCAAUUCUUACGGAGAUACGGUUAUUGAGUAAGACUUAGGUAAACAUAAAGAAUUAUACGAAAGAUCAUCUUUGUAUAUGAGAUUAUUUCAGGCUUAAUGCCUAGCAGGCUUGAUGCCGGUGGAUUAUUUCAGGCUUAAUGCCUAGCAGGCUUGAUGCCGGUGGAUUAUUUCAGGCUUAAUGCCUAGCAGGCUUGAUGCCGGUGAAUUAUUUUAGACUUUAUGUCUAGCAGGCUUGAUGCCGGUGAAUUAAUUCCGACUUUAUGUCUAGCAGGCUUUGUGCCGGUGAAAUGAAUCGGGCUUUGUGCCUAGCAGGCUUUAUGCCGGUGUUUUAUAUAGGGCUCUAUGUUUUAUAAAUUUUAUAUGAGCAAUAGUAAAAGCAAAUAAAUGUGUUAAGAAAGUUAAAUUAUUCAGGUAUGUGUUAGCCAUUUGCUUAAUUGCUGAUGAGGUAAGUUGAUUAUUUUAAUUUGAUAAUAGUUUCAAAUGAAAUAUAGAGUAUGAGUUAAUCAUUUGAGUAUAAGCAUGUUUUAGCAUAAUGAUUUAUUGAAUAUUCGGCUUUGCUAAAUAUUUAUGUGUAUUUGGCCAUAUGGUUUGUUUAUAUGAAAAUACAAUGUGAUUUUUAUUAAAGUGUUAUAUGGUACAAAAUAUUAUGAUAUUUGGUUUAUUUUAACUUAAUGAUGGAAUAAGUAUUAAUAUAUAUAAAUGAAUUUUUGCUUAUGACUUACUAAGCUUUAAAUAGCUUACUGUGUGUAUGUUGUUCUUCGUUUUAUAGAUUUUUGGAAGUUGGUUACGAGCUCGGGGAUCGUCAGAGAAGAUUAUCACACUAUCGACUCCUCUCGGUAUUUUGUAAAUUUUGAAUUCGAUCUUAUGGCAUGUAUAGCGUAGAUGAAAUACUUGAAUUUAGAUUAUGUAAUAUUAAGCCAUGCGAAAAUGGCUUAAUUUUCUUGUUUGUGUUCGGUUUUGGGCUGAAUUAUGGUUUACGCAUACUUUAAUCAUGGAUUAAUAUUUUAUGGUUAGUAUUUAUAUGGUAAUAUAUAUAUGUGCAUGGUGAUUUCAUUCAAGUGUUUCGGUAAUUAUGUGGUUGAAGUAAGUAAGUUUGUUAUAUUCAUUAAGAUAAAUAAUGUUAAGUUAAGUGUCUAGGUUACGUAUUAUAUAUGAAAUAUAUAUGAUUUGGUUGGAUUUAGUAGUUAAGUGAAUAUAGGAGAUGAUUUAUAAAUUGAAGUAUGCUUGUAAAUGUUGGUGAUUAAUUACGUUUGGCGUAUUGAUAGAGUAAACGAAUGUAUAUAUAUUCAAAUGUGUAUUGAUUAGGAUUUAUGGCUUAGUAUAUAUAUAAUGGAUUAAUUUAUUUAUAAAAAAAAAUUGAAUUGAGUCGGGUUUUGAUCGGUAAUGCCUCGUAACACUAAUCCGGCGACGGACACGAGUCGGGGUGUUACAUUUGAUUGGUAUCAGAGCUACGGUUUAGUCGGUUCUAGGACUAACGUAGUGUGUGUGAGUCUAGCUAUACAUGCCAUAUUUAACCUACAAUAGUGUGAUAUCUCCCGACUCUGACGAAAAUUGUUUUGAUGAGACAGAUAUGUUUUCCAACCGAGCUAAUUUUGAUAGUACAG
rnacentral:lncRNA from 1 species